rnacentral:rRNA from 1 species
UACAGAGGGGGCAAGCGUUGUUCGGAAUUACUGGGCGUAAAGGGCGCGUAGGCGGCCUUCUAAGUCGAACGUGAAAUCCCUGGGCUCAACCCAGGAACUGCGUCCGAUACUGGAAGGCUUGAAUCCGGGAGAGGGAUGCGGAAUUCCGGGUGUAGCGGUGGAAUGCGUAGAGAUCCGGAAGAACACCGGAGGCGAAGGCGGCUUGCUGGGCGUGAUCUGACGCUGAGGCGCGAAAGCGUGGGGAGCGAACAGG